rnacentral:rRNA from 1 species
UACGAGUGGUGCAAGCGUUAUUCGGAAUCAUUGGGCGUAAAGGGUGCGUAGACGGUAUGAUAAGUCUGUUGUUAAAUCCCUCGGCUUAACCGAGGAUGUGCGGCGGAUACUGUCGUGCUAGAGAAUGGAAGAGAGAAGUGGAAUUCUCGGAGUAGCGGUAAAAUGCGUAGAUCUCGAGAGGAACACCAAUGGCGAAGGCAGCUUCUUGGUCCAUUUCUGACGUUGAGGCACGAAAGCGUGGGGAGCAAACAGG